rnacentral:rRNA from 1 species
AUUGAACGCUGGCGGAAUGCUUUACACAUGCAAGUCGAACGGCAGCACGGGUGCUUGCACCUGGUGGCGAGUGGCGAACGGGUGAGUAACAUAUCGGAACGUACCCAGUAAUGGGGGAUAACUAACCGAAAGGUUAGCUAAUACCGCAUACGCCCUGAGGGGGAAAGCGGGGGAUCGAAAGACCUCGCGUUAUUGGAGCGGCCGAUAUCUGAUUCGCUAGUUGGUGAGGUAAAGGUGCACCAAGGCGACGAUCAGUAGCAGGUCUGAGAGGCUGUUCUGCCACACUGGAACUGAGACACGGUCCAGACUCCUACGGGAGGCAGCAGUGGGGAAUUUUGGACAAUGGGGGAAACCCUGAUCCAGCCAUUCCGCGUGAGUGAAGAAGGCCUUCGGGUUGUAAAGCUCUUUCGGCAGGGAAGAAACGGUUCUGGAUAAUACCCGGAGCUAAUGACGGUACCUGAAGAAGAAGCACCGGCUAACUACGUGCCAGCAGCCGCGGUAA